rnacentral:tRNA from 1 species
AGAAAUCUAGUUUAAGCAAAAACAUAAGCUUGUCAAGCUUAAGUAGUCUAUUUUUAAGACGAUAUCUA